rnacentral:rRNA from 1 species
GCUCAGAACGAACGCUGGCGGCAGGCUUAACACAUGCAAGUCGAGCGCCCCGCAAGGGGAGCGGCAGACGGGUGAGUAACGCGUGGGAAUCUACCCAUCUCUACGGAAUAACUCAGGGAAACUUGUGCUAAUACCGUAUACGCCCUUUUGGGGAAAGAUUUAUCGGAGAUGGAUGAGCCCGCGUUGGAUUAGCUAGUUGGUGGGGUAAAGGCCUACCAAGGCGACGAUCCAUAGCUGGUCUGAGAGGAUGAUCAGCCACAUUGGGACUGAGACACGGCCCAAACUCCUACGGGAGGCAGCAGUGGGGAAUAUUGGACAAUGGGCGCAAGCCUGAUCCAGCCAUGCCGCGUGAGUGAUGAAGGCCUUAGGGUUGUAAAGCUCUUUCACCGGAGAAGAUAAU